AUAUAAGAGACUCUACGUGUCAUCAAAUGGUUGGGCAAGGAGAUAAAAACUUUUGAUGGUCGAUUAAUUGUUUUUCUUCCUCUUCCUCUCCUUCUCUCUGUCUCUCGAAUCAGAGGAGAUUCGGAUCUGAGGAGAUGUGAAUCGGAGGACAUUGAAUCAGCGGAGGUGAACUUAGACGAGAUUGAUUUUGCAACUCUGUGUAAUCUCCUUUUGUCAACGAAAUUAUUAUGGUUGGAGUCAAGAAGCUAAAGAUAUGGUUGCUGCUUUCUCAGGUGAUGAUUCUCUCCCCAAGCCCAACAGAGGAGGAUAUAGGACUGAACAACCAACUUCAGAAUGAACCAGAACCGUUGAGGCGUGAAAGCUAAGACAGACAACAGUUCAGUUGGUGUGGUAACAAGAGAUGGAUAGGCUCGUGCAUAAAAGUUAAGGAUAGGGUCGUUUUACUAAUUCGCAUCUCUAAUUUCAGACAGUAGUUAGCACUUUUCUCUAGUAUGUUGAGAAAAUUAUAACCUGAGUUACCCACUUCUUGGCCCUCUUCUUGUGUCCAAGAGUAAUGGUGGGAAAGUGGUAAUUACGAUAUAGCAAUACCGAUAUAACUAUAUCAGCAGGUAUUGCUAUAUAGGUGGUGGUCUUGUGAAAAUGUAGCAGUGGUGACCGGUUGGAAUUGUACUUGAGAUUGCAAGGCAGCUUGCAGGUCAUGGAUUGACUGUUGUUCUUACAGCCAGAAACGUGGAUGCUGGCCAUAAUUCAGGUUUCAACAUAUGACAAUAUAUGAAAAUUGAAUAAGUUAUACACUGAUUUGGCAAAAUUUUGGCACAAUUCUAUCAAAAUUACAAUUAAUCU